rnacentral:pre_miRNA from 1 species
CGACGACGACGACGACGACGACGACGCGCGACGACCGCGUCGGUCGUCGUCGUCGUCGUCGUCGUCGUCGUCGU